GCUAAGCUAUCCCUCGCUGCUAAGCUAUCGCCGCUGCCAACCUAUCUAUUGCUGCAAGCUAUCCCUCGCUGCUAAGCUAUCCCUCGCUGCUAAGCUAUCCCUCGCUGCUAAGCUAUCCCUCGCUGCUAAGCUAUCUAUUGCUGCAAGCUAUCCCUCGCUGCUAAGCUAUCCCUCGCUGCUAAGCUAUCCCUCACUACUAAGCUAUCUAUCACUGCUAAUCUAUCGCUGCCAACCUAUCUAUCACUGCCAAUUUAUCUACCACUGCCAAUCUAUCUAUCGCUCCUAAUCUAUCGCUGCCAACCUAUCUAUCACUGCCAAUCUAUCUAUCACUGCUAAUCUAUCGCUGCCAACCUAUCUAUCGCUGCCAAUUUAUCUACCACUGCCAAUCUAUCUAUCGCUGCUAAUCUAUCGCUGCCAACCUAUCUACCGCGGCGAAUCUAUCCAUCGCUGCCAAUUUAUCUACCACUGUCAAUCUAUCUAUUGCUGCUAAUCUAUCGCUGCUAAUCAAUCGCUGCUAAUCUAUUGCUGCUAAUCUAUUGCUGCUGCCAAUCUAUCUAUCACUGCUAAUCUAUCGCUGCUAAUCUAUCGCUGCUAAUCUAUCGCUGCUAAUCUAUCGCUGCCAACCUAUCUACCGCGACGAAUCUAUCUAUUGCUGCCAACCAACCUACCACUGCCAACCUAUCUAUCGCUGCCAAUCUAUCGCUGCCAAUCUAUCGCUGCCAAUCUAUCGCUGCCAACCUAUCUACUGCAGUGAAUCUAUCUAUCACUAUCAUUACUAGUUCAAAAUAGAACUAGAGCAUAAAUACACUAAACUUCUUUUGAUAGGUAAUGAUUUUUGGUAACACUCAUAGCAUUAUAUCAUCUAUAUAGGGUAAAUCAUGGUCCCAUUUGGUCCCAUUUUAACAAAAUGGGACCAAAUGGGACCAGAAUCAGUAAUUUAUAAGAAGAACAUGACCUGGGACUAGAUUUAUAAUAUAAACAGUGUAAAGUGACUAAUUUAAUAAACACUAUAUG
rnacentral:sRNA from 1 species